UACGGAGGGUGCAAGCGUUAAUCGGAAUUACUGGGCGUAAAGCGCACGCAGGUGGCUGAGUCAGUCGAUUGUGAAAGCCCUGGGCUUAACCCUGGGAAUUGCAGUCGAUACUACUCAGCUAGAGUAUGGGAGAGGGCAGUGGAAUUCCCGGUAUAGCGGUGAAAUGCGUAGAUAUCGGGAGGAACAUCAGUGGCGAAGGCGGCUGCCUGGCCCAAUACUGACACUCAGGUGCGACAGCGUGGGGAGCAAACAGG
rnacentral:rRNA from 1 species